ensembl:lncRNA novel transcript
GCUCAGUGGCUAGCCGAAUAGCCGUGUUUGGGACCUGGGCUCGGGCUUCUUGCGUCCCCGCUAAGAACAUGUCACGGGGCCGAAUCGUCCGUAUUCUCUCAGCUUCAAGCUCCUCUACUUUUCAACCAGGUCACUAGCCCUUGACUCCUCUUAUCAAACUUCCGGAACUGCCACCCCACCAGUGACUCCACAGGCACCAGGGCAUGCAACAGGGCUGGGACAGGAAGGCUCUCUUCUUCACCUCAAGCCUGCUGGGCUAACACUUGCGAUUUUUACUAGAGUUAACUUUGUAAUGUAUGUCUCUGACUCUAGAAUUUCAAGAGAAGUUCCACUUAGUGACUCCUAAGUGGAAGUUCUAAGAUGGCUUCCCAGUGAGGUGAUGAAGAGGUUUGAGCUUUAGAGUGCGGUUGCAAAGCUCUUCUCUGACCUGAACAAUGGCUGUAGCUGUGGACCAACAAAUCCAGACUCCUUCAGUACAAGAUCUCCAAAUAGUUAAACUGGAAGAAGAUUCCCACUGGGAGCAGGAAAUUUCCCUUCAAGGGAAUUACCCUGGACCAGAGACAUCCUGCCAGAGCUUUUGGCAUUUCCGUUACCAAGAAGCAUCACGACCCCGAGAGGCCCUCCUCCAGCUCCAGAAGCUCUGUUGUCAGUGGCUAAGGCCAGAGAAGUGUACAAAAGAGCAGAUCCUGGAGUUGCUGGUCCUAGAACAGUUCCCGACUGUCCUUCUCCAGGAGAUCCAGAUCUGGGUCAGACAGCAGCAUCCGGAGAGUGGAGAGGAGGCAGUGGCCCUGGUGGAAGACUUGCAGAAAGAACCUGGAAGACAGAGGCUGGAGCCCUGCCUGAUGUGGCUCUGGGAAUUCCUGCAGAGAAGAGCAGGGGUGGCCAGGAGAUAGUGAGCAGCUCCCAGGAGCUAGUGACACCUGGUGAUUCGGCUGUGUAUAUCUCCUAGGAGGCAUGGAGGGAUCCAGAACCUGGACUGAAGAACCACCUAGAAAUAACUCAGCAGAAUUCUGAAAAUGAGGUCACGCUGGAUUUUCCAAUCCAUAGGCCCAAAGUGAACUCCCACGUGGAGUAGGAUGAAAACCCACAGCAUCUAGAUCUUCAAAUUCUGGAGAAAAAGAGAGUGUGAAAGACUGCUCAGUGGCUGGGGUGAGAGUCAAGUCUGGCCAGGUGCUAAUCUGGAGAAAAGCCAAGACCUGGAGCGAGCUGGAGUGGCAGGCCCUGGAGGAUGAGAAGGUGGCAGGAGUGCACUGGGGAUACAAAGAAACCAAGAUUUUUCUGGGAAUUCUCAGAGGCCUGGAUCCACGAAAAACUCCGCACCUGCCAUCGAAACCACCAGGUGUACCGGAUUAUGGCUGAGCAGCUGUGAGAACAUGGCUUCCUGUGGACCCUGGAGCAAUGUUGCUAUCGGUUCAAAAACCUCCUGACCGACUACUGCAAAGCCAGGAGCACCUACACACCAGGCACCAGUGUCUUCUAUGAUGAGAUGGAUGCCCUGUUGAGUCUUGGGGCACUUUCUAACACCUUUGAUGCCUUAGAGGUGGUAGGAGGCCUUCUUUGGGAUUGAGAGGAUUCCAAAGGGAACCAGGGCAUAGCACUAGAAGAUGUGGCGGGAUGGUAAUGAAAUAGUGGAGGAGUCUCAAGAGGAAUCCUGGAGGCUUGGUCCCCAGGCCUUGAGGUGGAAUCCCAGUGGCAACUCUCCCCCACAAUGGACCUCAGAGCAGUGGGAGCGACGCAGUCCUGUGGGAAGCAUUCAGGCUCAGAAUCAGGAGAUGUGAUUAUUGUCCUGGCUCUGUUAUGACUAAUUUGGGUCUGGAAUGGCCUCAUCGGGGGAAAAAUUGGUGACAACUUUAAGAAAUACUGUUUAUAUCCCGUCCUCAAAUAUUGCUUGACUCAACCCUCUACUGAACCAGUAGUCCAGGGUGGCUCACAAAGACCACUUUGAGGCUCUUGCUCUGCUCUUUAGCCAAGGAGUCUCCCUUCCUGCCUUCAGUAACAACAUUACAGGAAGAGAGGAGAGAAAGGUAGGAGUUAAAGAUCCAGUCAUUUGUUUCCAUCUAAAGUGCCCUAUAAGCCGGGCAUGGUGGCGCAAGCCUGUAGUCCCAGCUACUCGGGAGGCUGGGGCAGGAGAAUCACUUGAGCCCAGGAGUUGGAGGCCGCAGUGAGCUGUGAUCAUGCCACUGCAUUCCAGCCUGGGCGACAGAGUGAGACCCAGACUCAGCUGAAAAAUAAUAAUAUUAUUAAAAGAAUUUAAAAUAAAGUGUUCCAUAGAUGUGAACCCUGCGUAGAUUAUACACACCAGUCUGCCAUUUAAAAGGUUUGUUGUUCUUGGGCAACCUCUUUAAAUACCCUUAGCCUCCAUUUUCUCAUCUGGACAGUGGACAUUGUGAUGGUUUCUACCUCCCUGGGCUGUUAUGAGGAUCCUGACACAGUAUUAGCACUUGGCAAACGUUAGUUUUCAUUAUCAUCAUCAUUAUAAUUAUUAUGAAAAUAGAUAAGGGCAUUAUCCUGUACCCUCAAAGGAGUAAAAGGGGGAAAAUGAGUCAUUAAACUUUCUCUUCUGGGAA